CAUCAUUGUCUCACUCUUCACCUUAUCUUCCCUUCAAUCAUCCUCUUAUUUCUCUCAUCUUCUUCCUCUUUUCUUUUCUUUGGUUUUUUUUUUUGGUUUUGACCGAGAGCAACAACAAGAACAACAAUGGUCUGGAUUUUUUUACUUAAAUUACAGUAGUACGGGUCUCCUCCGGCCUCAAGAGGGUUAAGGAAAGCCAGGAGAACGGAAAGCCAGUGGUCCAAGCAGAAAAGAUUUUUUUUUUUUAAAAGAGAGAGGGUGCAAGGCUAUGAUUUCCCUUUGAAAGUGUGAGACCAUUAUAAAUCAUAGCAUCAGUGGUGCAGAAGAAAUCAGAGUAUCAAGAGGCUCCUCUGGCCUCAAGAUCCUUAAGGUUUCGUCUGGGCAUGACAAGUUUCAUGAGAUCUAUGUUCUCGAUGGAGAGGUGAAUGGCAUAUGAUUCAAGUUCAAGAUUCCAGUUCGUGGUCCAAAGAGCACGAUUAGUUGCCGUUGAAGCAGCUAUUGGAAGCUCUAUUGCCUUGCAGUAAUUUUUCGAAUCAUUUCUAGAUUUCGAUCUGGGAAGUGACAGACCAUUGAUUUACUUGCAUAAGCCUCUUAAUUUUUUCUCAAUUGUUGGUUUUGGCUUUAAUUUCAAAAUUCUUUGUUUUGACAGACCAUCGAUUUCCUAUUCAGGAUUAUGGUAUGGUGGUGCUUUUUCUCUGUUUUCGUGUAUGUUGUCUUCUCUGCAGUUCUCUUCCACUUCAGCAUCAGUUUUACU